rfam:Aedes aegypti strain Liverpool supercont1.16 genomic scaffold, whole genome shotgun sequence.
GUGGCUUAGCUGUUAAAACGCUCGUCUACCAUACAAGUGUCGUGGGUUCGAAUCCCACC